rnacentral:lncRNA from 1 species
GCGGCCGCCGGCUCCAGGGAGACCCCGCUGAACCAGGAAUCCGCCCGCAAGAGCGAGCCGCCUGCCCCGGUGCGCAGACAGAGCUAUUCCAGCACCAGCAGAGAUUGGCAUGCUUAAAGGGCUGACCAUCUGAUGUACAGGAAAUGGAAACUACUCUCUGAAAAGCAAGUGAUCUCCCAGCCGCACCCAUUUAGGAGACCAGGAUUUUAUUUUGAUCCACAGGAGACUAAAUGAGUUAGAGGCCACUCCUGUAUCAACAGAGUUUGUUACUUAAAUGACAGUAGGGCGGUUCGCAGAAGGAACACCAAAUAGUCUGACUAUCUACCAAGAAGAGAGUGUUUGAACACAUGUGCAACCUCUUGACUGUGGUGUGUGGGGCAGCAUUUAAUAAGAAAGAGCUAAAUCUGCUUGAUGUGGGAAUAUAUUCAACACAUGUUAAGUGCUAAAAUAUUCAAAGUAAAUAAAUGUCUAUGUACUCCAUAUUG